AAAGCGGAAUCCAACAGAAUCACACUGGUGUAUGCCGAUGUGCACGUGUAAAAUAAUUCGAGUUUGUAAUGGACGGCCCUGCAACGAAAUGUGACUACUGCGGUUUCAAUCGCAUUUUCAUAAGUAAAUUGUCGCUAUCACCUUGCAGAAGUCUUCUUCUCUCAGUAAAAAUAGGUCGUACUCAUAUACUACGGUCUUUUCUGGUUUUUUGCAAUUUUUUGUAACGCAAGUACAAAUAAAACAUUGGAAUAACUUU